AAGGUAGCGUAAUCACCUGUCUUUUAAAUAAAGACCUGUAUGAAUGGCAAGACGAGGGUUUUACUGUCUCCUCCCCCCAGUCAAUGAAAUUGAUCUACCCGUGCAGAAGCGGGUAUAAAAACAUAAGACGAGAAGACCCUAUGGAGCUUUAGGCACACAUCAAAUAUGUAAAAAACCAAAUCUUCCAAAUAGGCCUAAAAAAUGAGAAAAACAAGUAUUAAUGAUUAAUUGCCUUCGGUUGGGGCGACCACGGGGAAAAAUAAAACCCCCACAUGGAAUGGGUAAAAUUAUCCUAAGCCAAGAAAAACAAUUCUAAGCAACAAAAUUUUUGACCAAUAAACGACCCAGGGACAACAUCCCUGAGCAAUGAACCAAGUUACCCUAGGGAUAACAGCGCAAUCCUUUCCCAGAGCCCAUAUCAACGAAAGGGUUUACGACCUCGAUGUUGGAUCAGGGCAUCCUAACGG
rnacentral:rRNA from 1 species